AAUUAAUUCUCAUAUUAAUUUAGCUAUUAUUUUCUAAAUUAACAAAAAUAUUUCAUUAAUUAUAAAUUUCAAUAUUAAUUAAACUAAAUUAUUUUUAAGUUUUGAUUAAUUAUUAUAAUUAUCACCAAUAAUAAUCAAAUAUUACUAAACAAUCACAUAUAAUAGUAUUUUGAAUUAUUGGUAAAAAUAUUUAUUUUAUUAACAAUAAUUAAUUAUUAUUUAGAAAAUUUAUGAUUAAUUGGUAAUAAUAGAAUUAUCUAUAUUAAUUAAUACAAAAUAAUUAUAACUAUAAUAAGAAUAUU
rnacentral:lncRNA from 1 species